UGGUGGAGUGAUUUGUCUGGUUAAUUCCGUUAACGAACGAGACCUCAGCCUACUAAAUAGUGGCUGCAUUUUCACAAAUGUAGUCAACUUCUUAGAGGGACUAUGCGUGUUUAACGCAUGGAAGUUUGAGGCAAUAACA
rnacentral:rRNA from 1 species